rnacentral:lncRNA from 1 species
CAUGUUUUAUUGUUUUUUUUGGUUUGGUCUAUUUUUUGGUUACCGGUACUAUAAGCAUUAGGUAAAGUAUAUUUGGUGAAUGGGAUAAUUUGUAAGGGGUAUGUGUCUGCCAAACAUGUCUGCUUGGCAGGUUUCAUAUAACCUUUUCACUCAUUCUCAUGGUUCCUAGGUCAGUGAUCAGUAUUUUUGUUAUAUCUGUUUCUCAUGUACAGUAAGUGGUAGGACGACUAUUGUAUAGGUGGUGUAUGGAAUGAUAGUAAGAUAUUAAAGUCUGCCUGACAUGGUUCAUCUGAUCAUGACCUCAUUUUUUGUCUGGCUUGACGGAGUAAAAAACCAAGACAUAGGUAUACUGUUUCCCAUGUUGGCGGCAGUGUUGGCG